GACGUAGGGGGCGAGCGUUGUCCGGAUUUAUUGGGCGUAAAGAGCUCGUAGGUGGCUUGUCACGUCGGUUGUGAAAACCUGCAGCUUAACUGUGGGCGUGCAGCCGAUACGGGCGGGCUAGAGGCAGGUAGGGGAGAGUGGAACUCCUGGUGUAGCGGUGAAAUGCGCAGAUAUCAGGAGGAACACCGGUGGCGAAGGCGGGUCUCUGGGCCGUAACUGACGCUGAGGAGCGAAAGCAUGGGGAGCAAACAGG
rnacentral:rRNA from 1 species